rnacentral:rRNA from 1 species
UACGGAGGGUGCAAGCGUUAUCCGGAUUCACUGGGUUUAAAGGGUGCGUAGGUGGGCUUGUAAGUCAGUGGUGAAAUCCCCGAGCUUAACUCGGGAACUGCCAUUGAUACUAUAAGUCUUGAAUAUUGUGGAGGUCAGCGGAAUAUGUCAUGUAGCGGUGAAAUGCUUAGAUAUGACAUAGAACACCAAUUGCGAAGGCAGCUGGCUACGCAUAUAUUGACACUGAGGCACGAAAGCGUGGGGAUCAAACAGG